GUACCGCUGCGACAUCGAGAUCUUCUUCCCGCCGCCGUACCGGCGGCUCACCGGCAACGGCACGCUGGUUCACGUCUUAGGCAGCUCCGACUGUCCCGUGCCGGCGGCUCAGGGACAGAUUGCACACCGGGGUGAUGAUGAGGAGGAGGAGGAGGAAGGUGAUGAGAGGUCGGCACCAGUCAGUGUUCCUGUGGUUGUACUGGUGAUACUGGUCCUGUUUGUACUCAUCAUCGUUAUCUACUUCCAGGCCCGACAGUGGGAACGAGGGCGGAGGGAGGCAGUCGGACCGGUACCUGCUGCUGCACUUCCAUGUUGACACUUUGCAUGAAACACCCACUGAGUAAACCCCCCCCCCCAAAGCCGAGGAACACAGGGGUCAGCAUUGACCAUGUUAUGAAAUAUCACCUCUGUUUUGAUUGAGGUUGUUUUUGUUUUUUAUACCACAGCUAUAGAAAAUGAUAUAUUUGGUGUCUGUGGAUAUCUUACUUAUGUCUUAGUAAUACAGUGUGUGUUGUAAACACACACUGUAUUACAAAGCUGAAAGACUUUCAUUUAUAUAGCGCUUUUCAAGAGACAGAAUAUUAUUAUUAAAACCCUCCAAUUGUUUGUUUGGUAAUCAA